rnacentral:rRNA from 2 species
GCUAAGUGCGGACGAGAUAAACGCUGAAAGCAUCUAAGCGUGAAACUUUCCCUAAGAUAAGAUCUCUCAUCCUUCGAGGAGUAAGGCACGAUAGAGACUAUGUCGUAGAUAGGCCGGAGGUGGAAGUGCAGUAAUGUAUGGAGCUGACCGGUACUAAUCAGCCGAGGGCUUGACCUGAGU